rnacentral:tRNA from 1 species
GCGGGUUUAGCUUAGCGGCAUAAGCGCCUGCCUUGAAAGCAGGCGCCUUGAAAGCAAGGCGAUCCCACGCCUUGAUAGCGUGGGAUCCUGCA